CGGGACGGGUGAGUAACACGUGGAUAACCUACCUAUAAGACUGGGAUAACUUCGGGAAACCGGAGCUAAUACCGGAUAAUAUAUUGAACCGCAUGGUUCAAUAGUGAAAGACGGUUUUGCUGUCACUUAUAGAUGGAUCCGCGCCGCAUUAGCUAGUUGGUAGGGUAACGGCUUACCAAGGCACGAUGCGUAGCCGACCUGAGAGGGUGAUCGGCCACACUGGAACUGAGACACGGUCCAG
rnacentral:rRNA from 1 species